AGAUUGUUAGUUAAGAUAUAACACUAAUCUGUCACAUUAGAAUAACCCGCCCAGGUACAGUCUU
rnacentral:tRNA from 1 species